rnacentral:rRNA from 1 species
AGUGUUUUAGGGAGCGUGUUGCAGCUUGUUGUCAUGGUGUUGGGCUUUUGGGGUCAACUGUGGCAGUUCGGGUUGCAACAAACAAAGCGUUCUUUAUUGCUCUGGUGCUCUUGCAUUGCUUUUGGUACUGUUGUUUCCCUGGUGCGUUAGGGCUUA